rnacentral:tRNA from 1 species
UCGUGGCUCACACAGUAAAGAGUGUGCCUGCAAUGCAGGAGACCCAGGUUCGAUCCCUGGGUCAGGAA